rnacentral:rRNA from 1 species
CCUACGGGGGGCUGCAGUGAGGAAUAUUGGUCAAUGGGCGCGAGCCUGAACCAGCCAAGUAGCGUGAAGGAUGACUGCCCUACGGGUUGUAAACUUCUUUUAUAAAGGAAUAAAGUGAGGCACGUGUGCCUUUUUGUAUGUACUUUAUGAAUAAGGAUCGGCUAACUCCGCGCCAGCAGCCGCGGUAAUACGGAGGAUCCGAGCGUUAUCCGGAUUUAUUGGGUUUAAAGGGAGCGUAGAUGGGUUGUUAAGUCAGUUGUGAAAGUUUGCGGCUCAACCGUUAAAUUGCAAUUGAUACUGGCAGUCUUGAGUACAGUUGAGGUAGGCGGAAUUCGUGGUGUAGCGGUGAAAUGCGUAGAUAUUACGAAGAACUCCGAUUGCGAAGGCAGCUUACUAAACUGCCACUGACAUUGAUGCGCGAAAGUGUGGGUAGCAAACAGGAUUAGAUACCCCAGUAGUC